rnacentral:ncRNA from 1 species
AUUCGAUAACGGCAAACUUAUUGAAAAGUAAGGACGCAAAGCUUAGGGUCUAAGGUUACAACGCGAGUUGUAACGAUGGCAGCCUGGCUACCGAA